AUUGAACGCUGGCGGAAUGCUUUACACAUGCAAGUCGAGCGGCAGCGCGGGGCAACCUGGCGGCGAGCGGCGAACGGGUGAGUAACACAUCGGAACGUACCCAGUUGUGGGGGAUAACACAUCGAAAGAUGUGCUAAUACCGCAUACGACCUGAGGGUGAAAGGGGGGGAUCGCAAGACCUCUCGCAGUUGGAGCGGCCGAUGGCGGAUUAGCUAGUUGGUGGGGUAAAGGCCUACCAAGGCGACGAUCCGUAGCUGGUCUGAGAGGACGACCAGCCACACUGGAACUGAGACACGGUCCAGACUCCUACGGGAGGCAGCAGUGGGGAAUUUUGGACAAUGGGCGCAAGCCUGAUCCAGCCAUUCCGCGUGAGUGAAGAAGGCCUUCGGGUUGUAAAGCUCUUUCGGCAGGAACGAAACGGUGGGGGCUAAUAUCCCCUGCUAAUGACGGUACCUGAAGAAGAAGCACCGGCUAACUACGUGCCAGCCGCCGCGGUAAAAC
rnacentral:rRNA from 1 species